UACGUAGGGGGCAAGCGUUGUCCGGAAUCAUUGGGCGUAAAGAGCGUGUAGGCGGCCAGAAAAGUCCGCUGUGAAAACUCGAGGCUCAACUUCGAGCUGUCGGUGGAAACUUUCUGGCUAGAGUCCGGAAGAGGAGAAUGGAAUUCCUGGUGUAGCGGUGAAAUGCGCAGAUAUCGGGAGGAACACCGGUGGCGAAGGCGGGCGACCUGGGUAGAUACUGACGCUG
rnacentral:rRNA from 1 species